rnacentral:rRNA from 1 species
GGGUCAGUAGGUUGGUCGUGCCACCGGUACGUACUGGUCUCACUGAUUCCUCCUUCCUGAAGAACCGUAAUGCCAUUAAUUUGGUGUUGCGUGGAAACAGGACUGUUACUUUGAAAAAAUUAGAGUGUUUAAAGCAAGCUAACGCUUGAAUACAUUAGCAUGGAAUAAUGAAAUAGGACGAUCGAUCCUAUUUUGUUGGUUUCUAGGAUUGACGUA